UUUUUUUUCUGUUUUUGC
rnacentral:sRNA from 1 species